GCUCUCUUUGGCAGCGCAUACGCUAAAAUUAGAAUGCCAUAGAGAAGACUAGCAUGGUCCCUGCACAAGGAUGACACGCAAAUUCAUGAAACAUUCCAUAUUUAA
ensembl:snRNA U6 U6 spliceosomal RNA